AUUGAACGCUGGCGGCAGGCCUAACACAUGCAAGUCGAACGAGUGGCGGACGGGUGAGUAAUGUCUGGGAAACUGCCCGAUGGAGGGGGAUAACUACUGGAAACGGUAGCUAAUACCGCAUACCAUCGGAUGUGCCCAGAUGGGAUUAGCUAGUAGGGGGGGUAACGGCUCACCUAGGCGACGAUCCCUAGCUGGUUGGAGUGGAUGACCAGCCACACUGGAACGUAGACCCGUUCCAGACUCCUACGGGAGGCAGCAGUGGGGAAUAUUGCACAAUGGGCGCAAGCCUGAUGCAGCCAUUCCGCGUGUAUGAAUAAGGCAUUCGGUUUGUAAAGUACUUUCAGCGAGGAGGCGUUACUCGCAGAAGAAGCACCGGCUAACUCCGUGCCAGCAGCCGCGGUGAUUC
rnacentral:rRNA from 1 species